rnacentral:lncRNA from 1 species
GAACAGGUAAUAUGACCCGAUCCUAACUUAACUUGUUAAUAUUAACGGGUAAUAUAACCCGACCCGUUACCUAUUAAAGAAAAUAUAUUUUAAAUCAAUAAAUAAUCAAAUGAAAAACGUAACACCUAAAACGUAAGUGAGAUGAAAGAAUCCCAGGGUAAGAUUUUAAUCUCACUUAUGUGAGAUUAUAUCCUAUGGCAAUUGUUGCAGUAAGGUUUUUUAAUUAAUCAGAAGUGUGAAAAAUAUUAUAAAAAAUAAAAAUUAUACAAACGAACAAACUCUACAACUUUUUGAAGAGGUCAACUACGAAAUUCACCACCAUAAUCCCAUAAACAAUGGAUUUAAAUUUAACCAUUGAUUGUUGUUUACGUUCAUGCUCCAUUUUUUCUCACCAGAUUUCGUAUUUUCAGAUUUUCUUUUUUUGAAAACAUGACCUUUUAGCAAAUGUAAAAAGAUGAACGGUUCGGAUCGUUGAUAUCACGUUCAAAAUUUUAUAAUCAAUGAAAAUAUUGCUAGGAGCUUAUAAAGUCUCUAGAAACUAUAUACCUCGGCUCAUAUUUCAGUUAACUGUAAACAUCGAAACGUGAUAUCAGCAAUCCGAACCAUUCAUUUUUCUGUAUCUGCUAAAAUAUUAUGUUUUCAAAUAAGAAAAUAUUGUGAAGUCUAGUUUUUAUUGUUUGGCUUUCCUUGUCAAAUGUUAUAAAUUGUACCAUACAUGCUCUUGUUAGAUUUAGAGUUUAAUUGCUUCUCUGGGAUCAUGCUGCUAGAAAUGUCACUUCAAGAGCUUAAUUUCUUUCAUCGAAGGUUUGUUCAUACAUAUACAUUUCAUUCCAUUAUUUUUAGUUCAUUUUGUCUAGUGGUUAUGUCUCAUCUAAACUUCUCGCUACUUUCAUGCGAGUUGGGCACACAAUUUAAGACAACCCAUAUGGGCCUUCUGACAGCCUUUUCCUUGAGAGUGUUUUUCAACCCUAGAUCUUUUCAGAUUGUGUUUGCACAUGACACUUGUCUCUUUUUGUCCCUUUUCUUGUUUGAAACAAAGCCCACUAUAAAAGCUUUAUCUAGGGUUUCAUUUUCACUUGGCUAUAAGAUUUAUAUUUUCUGAUAAGGGGUUGUUUUCAUCUGUGAGUCACCCCUUGGUUCUUAUUUGAAAACUCUAACCACAAAAUCACACUCAUGUACUAAGUACCCACAUUGUCACAGUCCGUCCCGAAAUAAAUUAUCGAUGACGUGAAUUGACUAUUUUACCAUUGAAUGUGAGCGUUGUGGUGUGUUAUGCAUGUAAAUGGUGGUCUAAACUUGCAUUUUCCCCAAAUUUUUGGAACAAAUUGGAAAUUAGUUUUUGUGGUUUUGAUUGGUGACCCACGUGGACCACUCACACACACACAAACCUUUCCUCUCUCUUCUCUCCCAUGCUCUCUCUUCCUCGGACUCACUCUCUCUCUUUCCCUCAUGUACGGACCAACAACAACACAAGUGGAAAGUUGCAGAUCAAGGGUUUAAAGGACAACAUCGUGUUCCUGAGGUUCAUAUGAGUUGAAUGGUACCAUUUUUAAGUAAGAACUCAUUCAAAAACCCUAGUUUCUUUUGAACUUUGAUUUAGGUACUAUUCAUGCAAACAUAAAAUCUCUUGUUUUUGGGGAUUUCAAGCUUAUAGGUAGCUUAAGGAGGUCCCGAGGCUAGGAGUGGUUCGUUGGAAGAUUUUGGACGUUGGAAUAGCAAGAACACAAAAAGUUUUAAGUUUGGCAGGAUUAUCGAGGAUUUUUCUAGCGAGAUCCUAUGGGAUUUAGGUCCUAAAACUGGUAAGGGUUUAUUCUAUUUGUCCUAAGCUUCAUUUUGGUAUAUAAUUCAUGAAAUUGACUAAGAAAUGGAUGAGAAAUGAAGGUUUAAACAUUUUCCCAGUUCCGGCACCGGCAACGGUCGCUGGAGUCCUAAGGUUAGGGAUGAUGGAAUAUCCAUCAACUUUGACGGAAUAUUCCUAACGGUGUCUAAUAAGAUCAUAUUUAUGCAACUUAGUUAGCUUGUUUUCUUGCAUUUCAUAGUUUGUUUGUGCUUAUUAUAGUGUUUUAAGCUAUUUUCGUGUGUUUGUAGGUCUAUAUGACAAAGUUGGCAAGAAAGUGCAAUUUGGAGCAUUUUGAGGCAGUUUUGGGCACCAAAUGGAUAGCUUAUGAAUGGAGCAAGAUGGAUGGAUGAAUUUGAAGUUCAAGUGGCUAGGAAUGAGCUGAAAAGAGUGAAGAAAUAAAUCCAAGUCAAGGAAGAUAAGAAAUCAGUUCAAAAGAAGGAACAUUAUUCAAAACCUUAUCCAACCUUAUCUUAUCUUAUCCUUGCCUAACCUAACCUUAUCUUAUCCUAUCUUAUCCAAAUCAAUUUGUGCCUUGAUUCCAGCUAUUUCUAAGGGAUAAUUAUGUAUUUAAACUAUAUAUUUUAGAUUCUACAACCCUUAUCCUUUUAGAACCCCUAAAUUGGUGCUAAAACAUAUUUUCUUGAAGCACCUAAAAAUCUGGUGCCUUCCCCUUUUCUAGAAGCUCUAGAACCUGAAAUCUCAAUCCUUUUCCCUUUUGAUUUAGGCCAAAUGUAUCCCUUUCCUUGCAGGAAUUAGUACCGCACCUUUCUAACCUAAUCCCCUUUGGUUUUCUGAUUGAUUUAACCCAUUCCACUUGGGUUUUGGUUACAUAAUCCUUGUUCUACUUUAAUUUCAAAACCUAUCCAAAUCCUUAGGGAUUUUGACAUGUACCUAUCCAAAUCCUUAGGGAUUUUGACAUGUAUUCCAGCCUAUAAAUAAAAUUAUUCUCACCUGAAUUAUUUAUUCUAUUUUAUGUUUUGGCAUGGCAUACUUAUGAAUAUGGUUAUAUGAAGCAUGAUUUGAAUUGAGAUAAUUAUUUAUAUGUUGAUGUAUAUGUUAUAUUCUAUUUUUGGGAAAAUCUAUACAUGUUUUACGGCGAGGGGUUAGAGCAUUUUAAUGAUGAAAUGGUUUUGUAAAACAUUUGUUUUUGCCCACCACGUUUUCUGUUUUGCACUCCUCCAGGUUGCUGUUGGUGGUUUUUGAGGAUUUCGGCAGUUCUCACAGAAUAAAAUAAUUGUAGAACAUUUUCUGGUACUGUAUAAUUAGUAUUUGCCAUACCAGACUGCACUUAGACUUUCUAUGCUCUGAUUAGGAGUAUUUACUUUUGUAUCUCACUCCUAACACUUCCUGUUUAUUAGGGCACUUUACUAGCUUUUGAUUUUUAUUUAUUCGUAUAUUCUUAUUCUUAUCGCUUCCGCACUGUGCACAUGGCUACGUCACCCUCACGUGACGGCUAGCAUGCCUCGUUCUCGGUCGGGGUGCGUCAGUUUGGUAUCAGAACCUAGGUUUAGCAAUCCUGUAUAGUUUAUGAAUAUUCUAAUCUUUGUGAUCUCUUCUAUCAGAACUAUGCUGCCUCGUAGAGAGCCCCAUCACUCAGUUGAGCCUAGUUUCCCCGAUAUUGCUCAAUUAGGGGAAGCUAUAGUUAAUGCCAUUUAGUCUUCGUUCUGUCCUCCUUAAAGGACACCUCUUGAGACUGUGUAUAAUUUGAAGCUGAAUCAUUUCAUAGGAAAUGAAGGACAUGAGAGAGCGGAGAAGUGGCUUAAUUAUGUCGAAAAGACUUUCCUUGUGAUGUAGAGUCAAGGGAAUCUUCCUUCUGAUAGGUGGAUCGAGACGACUACCUAGUUUUUGGGUCAGGAGCCUGUAUCCUGGUGGAGACAGGAGUCAUAUCAGAUGACACCAGAGGUUGUAGCGGAUUGAGAAGUGUUUAAGCAGUUGUUUCGGAAAAGGUUCAUUCCUCCUAAGUACAUUGAUCGCAAGAAACAAGAGUUUACCCAUUUGAAGCAAGGAAAGAUGUCAGCAAAUGAGUAUUACAUGAAGUUCAUUGAUUUAUCUCGAUAUGAUCCGGAAGUUGCUGCUAAUCCGAUCAAGAUGCUCCGUCACUUCAGGUUGGGUACUAAGAAGAAAUGACGUUCUAUAGCGACAUCGAUUCCCUGUGUCAUUUACUAGGAUUUUUAUGAUGUUUUAAGAGAUGAUAAAGGUAAAGGUCAAUCAUCUCAGGGACCUCGUAAGACCCAGAGUUUUAAGAGAAGCGAUGGCAGUUCCAGCUCUUCAAGUGGAGGUUUGAGCUCUAAUAUGUAAAGGAAAGGUGGUAGAUUUUCUAGAGCCCAGAGAUUUCAGAGGCAAAGGGAUUUUGGUGGUUCAGGUGCUCCUUUAUGUUGCAGGUGUAAUAAUAGGCAUUAUGUGGAGUGUAGGAGAGGCAGCAGUGCAUGCUAUACUUGUGGACAGAUGGGGCAUAGGGCUGCUCAUUGCCCUUAGACUCAACAGAGACCCCAGCAGCCUUCCUUACCACCACCUGCGUCGACCCAGCAAGCUUCAGGAUCUAGUGGUUAUGCCCAAACUGGACGAUGAGGUGCUUAUCAUUAUCAGGGUGACGCCGCUCCUUAUACUUCAGGACAGUAUCAGUACUAUCAAGAUCCUCAUUAUCAGGGUGGUUACCCUCAGUAUCAAAGAGGUGUUAUGCCUUAUCAGCCACAUUUAGCUGGAGGAUCCCAGUGGUACCAAGGGGGACAACCCUAGUAGGUAGAGAUUGCUGCUAGUAGUGCAGGAUCUUCGAGACAGUUUAGUCAGCCCAGGCAAGGACGUGGUGUUCAUGCUAACAGAGGUCGUCGUGGACGACAACAGAAUCAAGGACGUAUCCACAACAUGACACUGCAAGAUGCUCAGAACAAUCCUGAUUUAAUCAUGGGUACGUUAAAUAUUCUUGGUCAUUUUGCUAGAGUAUUGAUUGAUUGUGGUGUUACGCAUUCUGUUGUUUCUCAUACAUUUGCUCAAAUGACCCAACCUCAUCUUACACCCCUAGGAUAUGAUUUAGAGUUUUAUAUGCCUAGAGGGGAUAUAUGUUUUGUGGAUCGGGUAUAUCCAGGAUGUCUAGUGAUGGUGGAUGAUGUUGUUAUGCCAGCUAAUCUUAUGCCGUUGGAUAUUAUGGAUUUUGAUGUGAUUUUGGGCACUGAUUGGUUGCACUAUAAUCGUGCCAAGAUAGAUUGUUAUGUAAAGACAGUCAUAUUUCAUCGUCCUAGAUUACAUGAAGUUACAUUUGUAGGAGAGCCUAGUGGGGUGAGGCAUGGUGUUAUUUCUGCCAUGAAAGCCAAAAGAUUGUUGUCGAAAGGUUGUCAGGGAUAUUUGGCUCAUGUGGUGCUAAACAAUGAUGCUCCUAGUAGUGUGGAGGAUGUGCGUGUGAUUAGGUAUUUUCUGGAUGUAUUCCCUGAGGAUUUGCUUGGAUUGCGGCCAGACAGAGAUGUGGAGUUUGUUAUUAAUCUACUUCCAGGUACGAAUCCUAUAUUUUUGACUCCUUAUAGAAUGACUUCUGCUGAAUUAAGGGAAUUGAAAGUUCAGUUGCAAGAAUUAGUGGAUAAAGGUUUUAUUCAGCCUAAUACUUCACCUUGGGGAGCUCCAGUUUUAUUUGUGAGGAAGAAAGACGAAACCUUGAGAUUAUGCAUUGAUUAUAGGCAAUUAAAUAGGGUAAUGAUUAAAAACAGUUAUCCAUUGCCUCGUAUAGAUGAUUUAUUUGAUCAACUCCGAGGUGCCUAUGUAUUUUCUAAGAUUGACUUGAGGUCGGGUUACUACCAGUUGAAGAUUAAAAGUGAAGAUGUCCCUAAGACUGCAUUCAGGACUCGAUAUGGUCAUUAAGAGUUUCUUGUGAUGUCAUUCGGGUUAACUAAUGCACCAGCAGCUUUUAUAUAUUUGAUGAAUCGAGUAUUCCAACCAUAUUUAGACAAGUUUGUUAUUGUCUUCAUUAACGAUAUUCUGGUAUACUCUAAGUCUAAGGUUGAGCAUGCUAGACAUCUUAAAUUGGUGUUGAAAAGUUUGAGGGAACACCAGUUAUAUGCUAAGUUUAGCAAAUGUCAAUUUUGAUUGAAUCAAUUGGCAUUUUUGGGACAUGUCAUUUCUGCUUAAGGCAUUCAAGUGGAUUCUCAAAAAGUGGCAGCUAUGGAGAAUUGGGAGCAACCGCGAACCGUCAUCGAGGUACGAAGUUUUCUUGGCCUAGCAGGAUAUUAUAGACGGUUCGUUAAGGUUUUUCAAUGAUUUCUUUGCCAUUGACGAGGUUGACCCGGAAGGAUGUUAAGUUUGAGUGGGAUAAUAAUUGUGAGCAAAGUUUUCAGCAGUUGAAGUAUUAUCCCACUCAUGCACCUGUUCUAGCACUCCCGGAUAAUAGUGGUAAUUUUGAGGUCUACAGUGAUGCUUCUUUGAAUGGUCUGGGUUAUGUAUUGGUGCAACAUGGUAGGGUGAUUGCUUAUGCUUCGAGACAGUUGAAACCUCAUGAAAAGAAAUACCCUACUCAUGAUUUGGAGUUAUCGGCUACCAUAUUUGCUUUAAAGAUUUGGAGACAUUAUUUUUAUGGUGAGAAAUGUAAGAUCUUCACAGAUCAUAAGAGUCUUCAUUAUCUUUUUACUCAGAGAGAUCUUAAUCUUCGGCAACUGAGGUGGAUUGAGUUGCUUAGUGAUUAUGAUUGCACGAUUGAGUAUCACCCUGGUCAUGCAAAUGCAGUGGUGGAUGCACUUAGUAAGAAGACUCCAGCUAGACUUAAUGCCAUCUAUGAUUGUCACGUUCCUCUUCUAGCGGAUUUGAGGUCCAUUGGAGUGGAGUUAGGAAUGGAAGAUCGAGAGGAAGCCUGCCUUGCUAAUUUUCAAGUUAGGCCAAUUUUAAUUGAUCGUGUGCUCGAGGCCCAGAUGAAUGAUGAAGAGACCCAGGAAAUAAUUCAAGCCAGGAAUCAAGGGAAGAAGAAAGAUUUCAAGAUUGGAGAAACUGAUGGUAUGCUUAUGCAAAGGAGCAGAAUGUAUCUACCGAAUAAUGCAGAGUUAAAGAAGGAAAUCCUUGAUGAAGCACAUAUUUCAGCAUAUGCAAUGCAUCCAAGAGGCACCAAGAUGUAUCAUACCAUUCGACCAUUUUAUUAUUGGCCGGGUAUGAAAAAGGAAAUUGUCGAAUAUGUGAGUAGGUGUGCCAUUUGCCAACAGGUUAAAGCUGAAAGGAAGAAGCCGUUUGGGUUGAUCCAGCUGUUUCCCAUUCCACAAUGGAAGUCGAAAAAUAUUACUAUGGACUUUAUGUACAAGCUUCCUCGUACACAGAAUGUUUAUGACAACAUUUGGGUGAUAGUUUAUCGGCUUACUAAGUUAGCACAUUUUAUUCCAGUGAGAGAGAAAUAUUCAUUAAGCCGAUUAGCUAAGUUAUUCAUAUCAAAGAUUGUGAAGUACUAUGGUGUUCCAGUUAAUAUUAUCUUGGAUCGAGACCCUAGAUUUACUUCCAAGUUCUGGGUAGCAUUUCAGGAAGCUCGUGGUAUAAGAUUACUUUAUAGUACGGCAUAUCAUCCUCAGACAGACGGACAAUCUAAUAAGACUAUUCAGACAUUAGAAGAUAUGCUGAGAUCUUCAGUACUUCAGUUUGGCGAUGGCUGGCAUGAUUGUUUAGAUUUGAUGGAGUUCGCCUACAACAACAGUUAUCAUUCAAGCAUUGAUAUGGCACCAUUUGAAGCACUUUAUGGGAAAUUUUGUUGUACGCCUCUAUGUUGGUAAAAUGUUGGUGAAAGAGUUUUAGUGGGCCCUAAGAUUGUGGACAAGACUACUCAAAAUGUUCAGGUAAUUAAGUCUAACUUGAAAGCAGAUGAUCGAAAAAAGAGCUUAGCAGAUAAACAUGCCACUGACUAGAAGUAUAAUGUAGGUGAUUGGGUAUUUCUGAAGCUAUCACCUUGGAAAUGUGUUGUACGAUUUGGAAAGAAAGGCAAGUUGAGUCCUAGGUACAUUGGACCAUGUAUGAUCACUGAACGAGUCAGUGGGGUUGCUUACAGGCUGGAGUUGCCUUCAGAGUUGUCCAAGGUACAUGAUGUGUUUCAUGUUUCGAUGCUUCGUCAUUAUGUCUCAGAUCCUUCACAUGUGAUUCCUUCUCAACCCUUGGAAAUUAAUCCGGAUUUAACUUAUGAUGAAGAACCAAUGACUUUUUUGGAUUAGAAGGAUAAGGAACUAAGGAAUAAGACCGUGCGUUUGGUGAAAGUAUUAUGGAGAAAUCAUUCAGUGGAAGAAGCUACUUGGGAUAUAGAGGAUCAGAUGAGAGAGAUGUAUCCACGCUUGUUGUAUGAUUAUUAGUGGAUGUAUUUGUUGUGUGUAAUUUCGAGGAUGAAAUUUUAUAAGGUGGGUAGAUUGUCACAACUCGUCCCGAAUUAUUACUAUCGACGAUGUAAAAUGACGGUUUCAUCCUUCGAUGGUGAAAUUGUAAUGUGUGUGUGUUAUGCUUUGGGACUUAGAUGUUAUUUUCUUUGGUUAGUUGGUGACCCACUUGGAACACACAUACACACUUUCACUCCCUCUCUCUCUCUCUCCUUCCCGUGCACUCUCUCUCUCUCCUCCCACUCGAUUUUCUCUUAUUUCCGUCAGCCUUGUACGGACGAACGUCAAGUUCACCAUUCACGCAUGGAUCAACGUUAAAAAGAUAAGCUUCUUGUUCCCUACAAGCUCCUAAGUCCAUUCGUACCAUUUUUAGGACCUAAAAACCUCAAAAACCCUGAGAACUCUAACCUCCGAUUUGGUGCAUUGUUCAUGCACACGAAAAAGUGAAGGUUUCAGUGGAUUUUAAGCUCACAUGGAGCUUUAGAAGGCCCUCACGAAGCUCAGAGAAGAAAACCAAGCGAUUUAGACGUCGGGAUCGUCAGUUUCAAGUUUGGCUGGUUUCCUCAAAUUUUUCCGACAAGAUUCCAUGAUCUUUGGGGCUUUAAACAGGUAAGGAAAUGUUCUACAAGUUAAGAGCUUCAAUUUGGUACUAGUUUCAUGAAUUUUGGUUGAAAAACGAGUGAGAUAUCAAGGUUUAAAGAAAUUCCCAAUUUUCGGCGUCGGCGAUGGUCGCCGGAGUUUUGAGGUUAGGGAUGACGGAAUAUUCCUAACGGUGUUGGUUAGUUUUAACGGUUUCCGUUACUUUUAACGAAAUGUUCCUAACGGCGUCACUGUUAUCGUCAGUGUGCCUGGCAUGUGCUCGCGCGUGGGCGGCGCAUGGGUGGUCGAAAUUUUUUUCUAAAAAUAUGAGGAUGUUUGUGAGGUUGUGUAGAUCACGUUGGUAUAUUCAAACACCCCAUUUGAGCAUUGUAUGAGAAAUUAUUAGCUAGUUUUGUCUAUGUACUUUAAAUAACGUUUUUAUAAUUAUUUCGCAUAUAGGGGAGGCUUAUCCCGAGGACGAGCGCAGUCAAGGGCGACUUGGGGGCUACGACCAUUCGACAUAUCAGUGAAUGGGCUUUUGUAUACUUGAUAUUUUCCCAGAAAAUGCGUUUAAAUGAAAGUAUGUUUUGAAUGCCAUGCAUAUAAAUUUAUAUUUCGUAUGCGAAUUAGUAUAUGAUGCAUAAUAUAUAUAAUUGUGGUGCUGUGGACGCUCAGGUAAGCCCAAGUGAGUUAUAAAUUGUGAAUGUGAUUAAAGUUGUGAUUGAGAAAAGUUAAGCUCAUACACCUGCACCUAGAGUGAUUGUGAUUUAGCCAGAGAUAUGACAUAUGCCUGUUUAUAAUGUCACAUUCCGCACCAUAUGCUCACAUUGGAUCCAAUUUAGGUGCACAGUCAUGUUGUACAGACCAUCAUAAGUGGUUCUGACUCGUAGGUGACUAGCGAAUUAUCACCCAACUAUCAUGAGAGAGCAGUAUUGAGCAUAAUUAUAUUACACCCGGUCUUGUCGUACAGACCCUUUUUAGUGGUUCCGACUUAUGUGCAGUGUGGUGCCGUAUAGGUCAUGGUAGUGACUCCGACUAGAUUGACUAAUGAGUUAUGAGUUCAGCCGUACAGACUUAUGCAGGGGUUCCGGUUAAUAUGUUAUCUUCCAUGAAAUUAUUCUCACCUGAAUUAUUUAUUCUAUUUUAUGUUUUGGCAUGGCAUACUUAUGAAUAUGGUUAUGUGAAGCAUGAUUUGAAUUGAGAUAAUUAUAUACAUGUUGAUGUAUAUGUUAUAUUCUAUUUUUGGGAAAAUCUAUACAUGUUUUAUGGCGAGGGGUUAGAGCAUUUUAAUGAUGAAAUGGUUUUGUAAAACAUUUGUUUUCGCCCACUCACGUUUUCUGUUUUGCGCCCCUCCAGGUUUUAGGUAAGCUUGCUGUUGGUGGUUUUUGAGGAUUUCGGCGGUUCUAAUAGAAUAAAAUAAUUGUAGGACAUCUUCUGGUACUGUAUAAUUAUUACUUGUCCUACCGGACUGCACUUAGACUUUAUAUGCUCUGAGUAGGAGUAUUUACUUUUGUAUCUCACUCCUAACAUUUCCUAUUUAUUAGUGCACUUUAGUAGCUUUUUUUUUUUAUUUAUUCGUAUAUUCUUAUUCUUAUCGUUUCCGCACUGUGCACAUGGCUACGUCACCCUCACGUGACGGCCAGCAUGCCUCGUUCCUGGUCGGGGUGUGUCAACUUUCAUCAACUUCACUCCUCCCUCGCCCGCAACACACCAAACUUUAACUGCCGGAAACUCUGCUUGAAAAGCUCGUCCACAUAAAUCCGUUGCUUGUCAUCGAUUUCAUCAACAUCCCAAUGAACCUACAUUAAUGUUGUCACAGUUCGUCCCGAAUAACUAAUUUUCGAUGAUGUGAAAUGACAAUUUUACCCUUGGAUGUUAAGUGUAUGGUGUGAUUUAAGUUGGAUUUGGACCCAUUUAUUAUUUUCCCUAAGUUUUUGGACCCAAUUGGAAGUAAGGGAAUUGUUGGUUUUGAUUGGUGACUUUUGGACCGCACACAUACCUUCUCUCUCUCUAUCAUAUGGACUUCUCUCUCUCUCUCUUCGAACUCGUACAGACACACUCAAACAAACCCAAAAUCUGCAUGGAUCGAAGGUUCUGAGGUCUCCAGUGUGUUCCUAGGAUCCUUACUAGUCGAAUGGUACCCAUUUUCAAUAAGGAAACCUUCGAGAAACCCUAGUUUGAAAGAGAGUCGUGGGUGUACAAUAUACCAAACCAGUUCGUGGAGGUUUCAAGCUGUUCUAAGGCAAAAAGGUAAUCUCAUAGUCCUCUUGCUUGUUUUGGCAUAAAGUGGAUCUUCGACUUGGGCACUAUUCAUCAACUUUUAAACCCUUGAGUUUUUGUGAAUUUUAGGACCACAGUGAGCUCAAGGAGGUCCUCACGAUGCUCGGAGUGCAUCGUUGGUAGGAUUUGGACCACGGGAAGCUUGAAAUGGAGCUUUGCAGAGGUCGUCGGAGUUCGAGAACUUCUCCGACGUAAUUUCACGUGAAUCGAGGUGUGAAAGAGGUAUAAUGCAAUUGUCUACCUCCUAAACUUCAUUUUGAUGGUAAUUGCAUGAAAAAUGGUGCAAAAAUGAGCUCGAUUAAGAAGUUGGAAAAUUUGCCCAGUUUCCUGCACCAGCGACAG